rnacentral:rRNA from 1 species
GACGAACCGUGCUAACGUUGUUCGGAAUCACUGGGCUUAAAGGGCGCGUAGGCGGUUUGCCAAGUCAAGGGUGAAAUCUUUCGGCCCAACCGGAAAAGGGCCUUUGAUACUGGCAAACUAGAGCGAGGUAGGGGCAGAUGGAACUUCCGGUGGAGCGGUGAAAUGUGUUGAUAUCGGAAGGAACGCCGGUGGCGAAAGCGAUCUGCUGGACCUCUUCUGACGCUGAGGCGCGAAAGCCAGGGGAGCAAACGGG